rnacentral:rRNA from 1 species
AUGCGCCGCCACCACGCACCGGCCGGCUCCAUGCCAUACCGCGCCGCGUGCCCUCCACCCCAACCACCUCUGUCGCCUCCACACUGUUCCCGAGCACCGCCCCCUGCCGCCGGGCCCCUCCUCCCGAGCGCCACCGCCCGCCGCCGGGACACUACUCUGGAGCGUUGCCCAGGGUUUGCGCCCCCAUCCCCGACUCUCACCAGGCCCCCGAGCUUCACCGCCCAGGCAACAUCGCUGCCCCCGAUCUCCACCUCUCAGGCAACAUCGCUGCCCCCGAGCGAUGCCCAGGGCCCCUCACCACUGACAGUCGCCGCCCCUGGAUCUCCUCUGCCACCACGCGCAGGUACACCCCCCGCCUCCUCUCCCGACCUUCGCCAGGGCCGCCUCCUCUACCAAUCGCCACCGUGGUCUCACCUCCUCACCGGCGGCCCUCCCCUGCUGUCGUCUCCCUCCUCCCUUCUUAAUUCCUCACCCACCGGUUGGGCUCUGCUGGGAUUUUGGCCGCGGGAUCCGUCCGUCCCUACACCACGUGGGUUUUGA